rnacentral:rRNA from 1 species
GGGGUGAGGACAGUGUCUGGUGGGUAGUUUGACUGGGGCGGUCUCCUCCCAAAGAGUAACGGAGGAGCACGAAGGUUAGCUAAUCACGGUCGGACAUCGUGAGGUUAGUGCAAAGGCAUAAGCUAGCUUGACUGCGAGAGUGACGGCUCGAGCAGGUACGAAAGUAGGUCUUAGUGAUCCGGUGGUUCUGAAUGGAAGGGCCAUCGCUCAACGGAUAAAAGGUACUCCGGGGAUAACAGGCUGAUACCGCCCAAGAGUUCAUAUCGACGGCGGUGUUUGGCACCUCGAUGUCGGCUCAUCACAUCCUGGGGCUGAAGUAGGUCCCAAGGGUAUGGCUGUUCGCCAUUUAAAGUGGUACGCGAGCUGGGUUUAGAACGUCGUGAGACAGUUCGGUCCCUAUCUGCCGUGGGCGUUGGAAGAUUGAGAGGGGUUGCUCCUAGUACGAGAGGACCGGAGUGAACGCACCACUGGUGUUCGGGUUGUCAUGCCAAUGGCAUUGCCCGGUAGCUAAGUGCGGAAAAGAUAAGCGCUGAAAGCAUCUAAGCGCGAAACUU